rnacentral:misc_RNA from 1 species
AAAGUCGUAACAAGGUUUCCGUAGGUGAACCUGCGGAAGGAUCAUUACCAAAUCCAAAUCCCAACCCCAUGUGAACCUGUGUUUGUAUGUCUUUGGGGGAGUUUAACUUCGAGCUUAAAACCCUCGUUUUUUUUACUCCCCCAAAUGUAUUGAACCACAUUGGUCUUCGUUGGAAUCACUUUUAUUAGUAAUAAUAAAAGACAACUUUUAACGGUGGAUCUCUUGGCUCGU